GGGGUUUUAGCUCAGUGGUAGAGCACUUGCCUAGCAAGCGCAAGGCCCUGGGUUCAGUCCCCAGCUCCG
rnacentral:tRNA from 1 species